UGAUGCUUCUAUUUAUAUCGGCUGCUUUGUGACUUGAACUGAUCUCUUGACUCUUUGAAGUUGAGUGGAAUUCGGCCUCCUCUUGGCUCAGUGACUCUAUCUUGAUUCGGCUUCAAUACUUAUCGUCGGCUGACUUGACGCUGGACUCUAUUCGGAUUGGCUUUGAUACUUAUCGUCGGCUGACAUGAACUUCAAGUCGAUUGAAAUACUACUUGAUCAAAUUUCAUCUUUAUCGCUUAUCGGCCUCUCUGACAAUCGGCCACUAUCUUUCUAAGUUGAGUUCGGAUUGGAAACCAAUUAGAGUAUUGGCCAAUGGGCUUUUAGACAAUAAACCAAUGACCACGGGCCAGCCGAUAACUAAAGGCCUAGCUUCGUCUGACUCAUCUUGGACCAACUGAAGUGUCCACUUAUUCAUCGGCCAACAUUUCUAGCUAUUGGCCCAAAUUACUUGUAGAGUGGCUCAUUGUAAUUAGAAAUGACUAUAUGCACAUUAGUUAUGUCCUAGUGGCCAUGCAAAUGUGGGUACAAACAUUGCCCCCCCAAGUUUCUUAAGCAUCGGCGGCAUUCGUCGAGUGGUUGAGAAAUUUGAGUCAACUUGGCCCCCGAAUCGACUUCUGAAAACUCAUGAGUAUAUGUUCCUUUUUGACCUCCCCGAUGACUGGAAUAUAUUUUCUUUGUCGAAUGAGCUUUCGGGACAUCAACUUGAGUGUUGAAUGAGUUGUUCGUGAGUACGCCAACGAACAAACCAAUCUGAGUAGGACAACAUGUGAAUGUAGCUUAUGGUGGCCAACAAGUCAAUAGACACAAGGAAGCCAAUGAAUAAUAAUAUUCAAAUCGGCCAACAGAAAAAUAAAUAAGCAAAUCGGCUAACGAAAGCCAACAAUUAAGUUACUCGAGCGUGGCCGAUGGAUAGAACUAGAGCUGGCCAACAAGUGAGAGUGGCCCAUGGAAGCCAACACAUGAAAAAGUUCAAGUUGGCCAAUGAGUUCAAGUGAGGGAGAGUAGGCCAACAAAGGACUUCAAAUUUUAAGUUGGCCAAAGGCAUGAGGAAACUCAAGUCAGCCAACACAAAAGAAAAUGGCAGCCAACCCAAAUUGAAAGUGGCAGCCAACUCAAGAGUUCAAAUUUUAAAUUGGCCAACUAAAAGAAAGCAAGCCAACAAGAACAAAUUUUGAGUUGGCCAACAAGAACAAAUUUUGAGUUGGCCAACAAAGAGAGAGGGUCAGCCAACACAAAAGAAAAUUUCAAGUUGGCCAACGCAAAGACAAAAGCUUGGCAGCCAAUUGAAAGAAUAGGUAGCCAACACAAGGAAAACUUGGCAGCCAAUUACUCCCUUCGUCUUUCUUUCUCUCUUUUUUUUCGGGUUGGCUGUGCACCCAUUUUUCUACGGGUCGACCCAUCUGUGAUUUUCACUUUUCCCUUUUAUCAUUUUAUCCCUUCAUCUACAACUAUGACCACAAACAGAGAACUCUCUUCCAUUUCUAGUAAAACAUGAGCUACCCUUUGUCAAAGCUUGUAAUUGAAUCUUGCACCUCCCACAUCCUCAAAUUCGUCAAUUCCUCCACUUAAUAGUGAUCUGGGUAUGAAGUCGAGCGGAUCCUCGUGACCACGAAAGAGCUGAAAUCAUAGCUGGGAAUCCCUUGAUUUUCAGCAAAUCCCGCUUUAGUAGAGUUGUUUGGAAGCUGGGUAUCCCUUGAUUGCAGGUACAGCGUUGGAAACCCAUUCCACAUAUCUAGCAGGUCUAAUAAAUUUAGCAUGUAGUAAUUGUUCAAUUUCCUCUUUCAUUUCAGUUUGUACCUCGGCGGAACAUCGCCGAGGAGCUUGUUUGUAAGGUUUACAAUCAUCUCUAAGAGGUAAUCCAUGUUCUACUAGGCUUCUAUCAAGCCCGGGCAUUUCGUGGUACUCCCAUGCAAAACAAUCCUUAUAUUCUAGUAAUAAAGCCUCCAUCGCUGCUCAUAGUUCUGGAUCGAGAAGUCUACUAAUAGAGAUCAGCCGAGGGUUAUCUUCAUCUCCCAAGUUGAUUUGGUCUACAGGAUCUUGAGUUUCGGCUUCAGUAUCUUCUAAUUCGGCCGGGGCUGGGCCGAUAUCUUCCAACUGUAACUCUUCUUCCUGUUGUUCUGCAAUAUAUUCCAUCAAGUUGAUGGCCGAGUUAGACUUGGUAAUCCUGUCGACCCAAUAGGCCAGCAAACGUCCUAAAAUAGAUCGAACUGCGGCCUUUCUUUCUAGAGACCUUGGGUCUCUAGACAUUGAUAUUGUCCUUGAAGAGGUCAACCAGGGUUGGACGUUCUGCAUCUUGCAAAACAUCCUCACUCCCUAGGUUGACAAUUUUCUGGGCCGUAACUUGGGUAGGUCGGCCCUUGCUAUCUCGUCCACUGAAAGUGAAAUAACCAAUAUCGUCCUCAUAAAACCUUGCUUCUACUACAUUGGUGGAUGCUUGAAAUGGAAUGACUUCAAUUUUGUCUCCAUGCCAGAAGAUCAAAACUUGAUGCAGGGAAGAAGGCACACAUAAGUUCUGGUGAAUCCAAUCGCGGCCAAGCAACGCAUUGUAAUGAGCAGAUGAAUCGAUCACAAAGAAAGCUGUCAUGUUUGUCUUUUCCCCCACUGUGACAUCGAGUGCGAGGAUACCUCUUGGCCUGCUCUUCCCGCCAGAGAAGUUGCUCACUGUGAU